GUAGGUGGCAAGCGUUGUCCGGAAUUAUUGGGCGUUAAAGCGCGCGCAGGUGGGUUCUUUAAGUCUGAUGUGAAAGCCCCCGGGCUCAACCGGGGAGGGCAUUGGAAACUGGGGAACUUGAGUGCAGGAGAGGAAAGUGGAAUUCCACGUGUAGCGGUGAAAUGCGUAGAUAUGUGGAGGAACACCAGUGGCGAAGGCGACUUUCUGGCCUGUAACUGACACUGAGGCGCGAAAGCGUGGGGAGCAAACAGGAUUAGAUACCCUGGUAGCCCACGCCGUAAACGACGAGUGCUAAGUGUUGGGGGGUUUCCGCCCCUCAGUGCUGCAGCUAACGCAUUAAGCACUCCGCCUGGGGAGUACGGUCGCAAAGACUG
rnacentral:rRNA from 1 species